GACGAACGCUGGCGGCGUGCCUAAUACAUGCAAGUCGAACGAACUCUGGUAUUGAUUGGUGCUUGCAUCAUGAUUUACAUUUGAGUGAGUGGCGAACUGGUGAGUAACACGUGGGAAACCUGCCCAGAAGCGGGGGAUAACACCUGGAAACAGAUGCUAAUACCGCAUAACAACUUGGACCGCAUGGUCCGAGCUUGAAAGAUGGCUUCGGCUAUCACUUUUGGAUGGUCCCGCGGCGUAUUAGCUAGAUGGUGGGGUAACGGCUCACCAUGGCAAUGAUACGUAGCCGACCUGAGAGGGUAAUCGGCCACAUUGGGACUGAGACACGGCCCAAACUCCUACGGGAGGCAGCAGUAGGGAAUCUUCCACAAUGGACGAAAGUCUGAUGGAGCAACGCCGCGUGAGUGAAGGAGGGUUUCGGCUCGUAAAACUCUGUUGUUAAAGAAGAACAUAUCUGAGAGUAACUGUUCAGGUAUUGACGGUAUUUAACCAGAAAGCCACGGCUAACUACGUGCCAGCAGCCGCGGUAAUACGUAGGUGGCAAGCGUUGUCCGGAUUUAUUGGGCGUAAAGCGAGCGCAGGCGGUUUUUUAAGUCUGAUGUGAAAGCCUUCGGCUCAACCGAAGAAGUGCAUCGGAAACUGGGAAACUUGAGUGCAGAAGAGGACAGUGGAACUCCAUGUGUAGCGGUGAAAUGCGUAGAUAUAUGGAAGAACACCAGUGGCGAAGGCGGCUGUCUGGUCUGUAACUGACGCUGAGGCUCGAAAGUAUGGGUAGCAAACAGGAUUAGAUACCCUGGUAGUCCAUACCGUAAACGAUGAAUGCUAAGUGUUGGAGGGUUUCCGCCCUUCAGUGCUGCAGCUAACGCAUUAAGCAUUCCGCCUGGGGAGUACGGCCGCAAGGCUGAAACUCAAAGGAAUUGACGGGGGCCCGCACAAGCGGUGGAGCAUGUGGUUUAAUUCGAAGCUACGCGAAGAACCUUACCAGGUCUUGACAUACUAUGCAAAUCUAAGAGAUUAGACGUUCCCUUUGGGGACAUGGAUACAGGUGGUGCAUGGUUGUCGUCAGCUCGUGUCGUGAGAUGUUGGGUUAAGUCCCGCAACGAGCGCAACCCUUAUUAUCAGUUGCCAGCAUUAAGUUGGGCACUCUGGUGAGACUGCCGGUGACAAACCGGAGGAAGGUGGGGAUGACGUCAAAUCAUCAUGCCCCUUAUGACCUGGGCUACACACGUGCUACAAUGGAUGGUACAACGAGUUGCGAACUCGCGAGAGUAAGCUAAUCUCUUAAAGCCAUUCUCAGUUCGGAUUGUAGGCUGCAACUCGCCUACAUGAAGUCGGAAUCGCUAGUAAUCGCGGAUCAGCAUGCCGCGGUGAAUACGUUCCCGGGCCUUGUACACACCGCCCGUCACACCAUGAGAGUUUGUAACACCCAAAGUCGGUGGGGUAACCUUUUAGGAACCAGCCGCCUAAGGUGGGACAGAUGAUUAGGGUG
rnacentral:rRNA from 1 species